rnacentral:rRNA from 1 species
CAACUUUCAGCAAUGGAUCUCUUGGUUCUCGCAUCGAUGAAGAACGCAGCGAAUCGCGAUAAGUAAUGUGAAUUGCAGAUUUCCAGUGAAUCAUCGAAUCUUUGAACGCACCUUGCGCUCUCUGGUAUUCCGGAGAGCAUGCCUGUUUGAGCGUCG